rnacentral:tRNA from 1 species
GGGUAGGUGGCCGAGUUGGUCGAAGGCGCCUGACUGUAAAUCAGGUACGGGGAAACAUCGGUGGUUCGAAUCCAUCCCUGCCCACCA